rnacentral:tRNA from 1 species
UCCGAUAUGGUCUAGUGGUUAGGAUUUUCGGCUUUCAAGCAAUGAAGCUCCCGAACGGGUUUGAUUCCCGGUAUCGGAA